rnacentral:rRNA from 1 species
AUUGGACGCUGGCGGCAGGCCUAACACAUGCAAGUCGAACGGUAGCACAGAGAGCUUGCUCUCGGGUGACGAGUGGCGGACGGGUGAGUAACGUCUGGGAAACUGCCCGAUGGAGGGGGAUAACUACUGGAAACGGUAGCUAAUACCGCAUAACGUCGCAAGACCAAAGUGGGGGACCUUCGGGCCUCACACCAUCGGAUGUGCCCAGAUGGGAUUAGCUAGUAGGUGGGGUAAUGGCUCACCUAGGCGACGAUCCCUAGCUGGUCUGAGAGGAUGACCAGCCACACUGGAACUGAGACACGGUCCAGACUCCUACGGGAGGCAGCAGUGGGGAAUAUUGCACAAUGGGCGCAAGCCUGAUGCAGCCAUGCCGCGUGUAUGAAGAAGGCCUUCGGGUUGUAAAGUACUUUCAGCGGGGAGGAAGGCGGUGAAGUUAAUAGCUUCACCGAUUGACGUUACCCGCAGAAGAAGCACCGGCUAACUCCGUGCCAGCAGCCGCGGUA